rnacentral:misc_RNA from 1 species
GAAAGGCGAGAAGGAAGGGGAAGGGCAGAAGGCAGGGAAUCAUCGAAUCUUUGAACGCACAUUGCGCCCGCCAGUAUUCUGGCGGGCAUGCCUGUUCGAGCGUCAUUUCAACCAUCAAGCCCCCGGCUUGUGUUGGGGACCUGCGGCUGCCCGCAGGCCCUGAAAAACAGUGGCGGGCUCGCUGUCACACCGAGCGUAGUAGCAUACAUUCUCGCUCAGGGCGUGCUGCGGGUUCCGGCCGUUAAACGACCUUCAUAACCCAAGGUUGACCUCGGAUCAGGUAGGAAGACCCGCUGAACUUAAGC